rnacentral:tRNA from 1 species
ACUUUUUUAAUAUAAACAUUAUAGAUGACUUCCAAUCAUCCAAUCUCAGCCAACCCUGAGAAAAAGUA